UACGGAGGGUGCAAGCGUUGCUCGGAAUUAUUGGGCGUAAAGGGUAGGUAGGUGGUCUCAUUUGUCUGGGGUGAAAGCCUUGAGCUUAACUCAAGAAGUGCCCCAGAAACGGUGAGACUAGAGUCCUGGAGAGGGUCGUGGAAUUCCCGGUGUAGCGGUGAAAUGCGUAGAGAUCGGGAGGAACACCAGUGGCGAAGGCGGCUCACUGGUCCGGUACUGACGCUGAUGUACGAAAGCGUGGGGAGCAAACAGG
rnacentral:rRNA from 1 species